rnacentral:rRNA from 1 species
UACAGAGGGUGCAAGCGUUGUUCGGAAUUACUGGGCGUAAAGCGCACGUAGGCGGCUUUGUAAGUUAGAGGUGAAAGCCCAGGGCUUAACCCUGGAAUUGCCUUUAAGACUGCAUCGCUAGAAUCGUGGAGAGGUGAGUGGAAUUCCGAGUGUAGAGGUGAAAUUCGUAGAUAUUCGGAAGAACACCAGUGGCGAAGGCGACUCACUGGACACGUAUUGACGCUGAGGUGCGAAAGCGUGGGGAGCAAACAGG